ACAGGUCAGACAGUCAGCUGAAGUUUUAAAAUUUUCUUUCUGCUUUGAUAUUUACACCAAAAGUUUACCCUGCAUGUUCCUGAAAGAAUCUGUCCCGAAAGACUCUCUACCUGAACAACUGGUGGUCAUUUUCAAACAUUGAGAUUAGCGAAUAUCAGAUACACCUAGCAAGCAGGACCAGAGGAAAAACAUCAAGCCAUUUUCCAUUUGAGAGGAAAAAUAUAUCUCUUCCUGACCUCCCUACAUGUGUCAUUUUACAUCUAGCAACAUCAAUUCUACUCAUAAUACCUAAACAGUACAGAUACUGAUACAUGUUGGAACAUCAUAUGUCAGGAGAAUUGUCGAUUACUUGGAAAGAAUCCAAAGAAAAGCAUUAGGAAGACAGUGAAGUAAUGGAGAAGAUUGCUGAGGGGAACCUGUAAAGACUUCAUCUCUGAAUGUUUUUAAGAACAAAAUAUCUUCUGGAAAUAACAUGAAGAAACAUGAUUCUGCAUAGGGACAAGAACAACAUCUGGCUCAUGAAUCCCCUUAUUGUUAGAGGUAAAGAGAGUAUUAGAGGAAAAGUAUAAUAUUCACUUCUCUUUUUCUUAUACUCUUCUUAGCACCUACUUAUGGACCCUACCAGGAGCAGGACAGUGGACCUUUGGCCCAACCAAGUACAACCAUUCCUCUGUUUUUAAAAGAACUUCCUUCUGAGGUACUUUUAAACAGUAUUUUUUCCAUGGGUUAAUGAUGUCAUAGGCUACUUUUCAAAUAAUUCAGUUACAAGAGGAGGGUGGACAGGAAACCUGAAAACUUGAGGAGACAGAAGAAAGGACAUGUGAUCAACUCUUAGUGAAAGUGCCAUUCAGUGACAAUGU